rnacentral:misc_RNA from 1 species
AACUUUUAGCAACGGAUCUCUUGGCUCCGGCGUCGAUGAAGAACGCAGCGAAAUGCGAUACGUGGUGUGAAUUGCAGACUUGUGAAUCAUCGAAAUUUUGAACGCACAUUGCGCCCAUUAGCAUUCUUUUGGGCACGCCUGUUCGAGCGUCGUCUAAAUCUCGGCCCGGCCGGUGAUGGGAGCUGUCUGUGACACUCCUGAAAUGGCGCGGCAUUCUCCUGAUCCAAAACGCGGCCAGACGCGAACGAGGAAAUGGGAUUAUGCUGGAAACCUCUUUGACUGUUUCGACCUCGAAUCAGGCGGGGAUACCCGCUGGACUUAAGCAUAUCAAUAAGCGGAGGCU